CCAGAAUCCUACGGGAGGCAGCAGUAGGGAAUCUUCCGCAAUGGGCGAAAGCCUGACGGAGCAACGCCGCGUGAGUGAUGAAGGUCUUCGGAUCGUAAAACUCUGUUAUUAGGGAAGAACAAAUGUGUAAGUAACUAUGCACGUCUUGACGGUACCUAAUCAGAAAGCCACGGCUAACUACGUGCCAGCAGCCGCGGUAAUACGUAGGUGGCAAGCGUUAUCCGGAAUUAUUGGGCGUAAAGCGCGCGUAGGCGGUUUUUUAAGUCUGAUGUGAAAGCCCACGGCUCAACCGUGGAGGGUCAUUGGAAACUGGAAAACUUGAGUGCAGAAGAGGAAAGUGGAAUUCCAUGUGUAGCGGUGAAAUGCGCAGAGAUAUGGAGGAACACCAGUGGCGAAGGCGACUUUCUGGUCUGUAACUGACGCUGAUGUGCGAAAGCGUGGGGAUCAAACAGGAUUAGAUACCCUGGUAGUCCACGCCGUAAACGAUGAGUGCUAAGUGUUAGGGGGUUUCCGCCCCUUAGUGCUGCAGCUAACGCAUUAAGCACUCCGCCUGGGGAGUACGACCGCAAGGUUGAAACUCAAAGGAAUUGACGGGGGCCCGCACAAG
rnacentral:rRNA from 1 species